AUAGCCGGGAUAGCUCAAUCGGUAGAGCAGGGACUAA
rnacentral:tRNA from 1 species